GUCGAACGAACUCUGGUAUUGAUUGGUGCUUGCAUCAUGAUUUACAUUUGAGUGAGUGGCGAACUGGUGAGUAACACGUGGGAAACCUGCCCAGAAGCGGGGGAUAACACCUGGAAACAGAUGCUAAUACCGCAUAACAACUUGGACCGCAUGGUCCGAGUUUGAAAGAUGGCUUCGGCUAUCACUUUUGGAUGGUCCCGCGGCGUAUUAGCUAGAUGGUGGGGUAACGGCUCACCAUGGCAAUGAUACGUAGCCGACCUGAGAGGGUAAUCGGCCACAUUGGGACUGAGACACGGCCCAAACUCCUACGGGAGGCAGCAGUAGGGAAUCUUCCACAAUGGACGAAAGUCUGAUGGAGCAACGCCGCGUGAGUGAAGAAGGGUUUCGGCUCGUAAAACUCUGUUGUUAAAGAAGAACAUAUCUGAGAGUAACUGUUCAGGUAUUGACGGUAUUUAACCAGAAAGCCACGGCUAACUACGUGCCAGCAGCCGCGGUAAUACGUAGGUGGCAAGCGUUGUCCGGAUUUAUUGGGCGUAAAGCGAGCGCAGGCGGUUUUUUAAGUCUGAUGUGAAAGCCUUCGGCUCAACCGAAGAAGUGCAUCGGAAACUGGGAAACUUGAGUGCAGAAGAGGACAGUGGAACUCCAUGUGUAGCGGUGAAAUGCGUAGAUAUAUGGAAGAACACCAGUGGCGAAGGCGGCUGUCUGGUCUGUAACUGACGCUGAGGCUCGAAAGUAUGGGUAGCAAACAGGAUUAGAUACCCUGGUAGUCCAUACCGUAAACGAUGAAUGCUAAGUGUUGGAGGGUUUCCGCCCUUCAGUGCUGCAGCUAACGCAUUAAGCAUUCCGCCUGGGGAGUACGGCCGCAAGGCUGAAACUCAAAGGAAUUGACGGGGGCCCGCACAAGCGGUGGAGCAUGUGGUUUAAUUCGAAGCUACGCGAAGAACCUUACCAGGUCUUGACAUACUAUGCAAAUCUAAGAGAUUAGACGUUCCCUUCGGGGACAUGGAUACAGGUGGUGCAUGGUUGUCGUCAGCUCGUGUCGUGAGAUGUUGGGUUAAGUCCCGCAACGAGCGCAACCCUUAUUAUCAGUUGCCAGCAUUAAGUUGGGCACUCUGGUGAGACUGCCGGUGACAAACCGGAGGAAGGUGGGGAUGACGUCAAAUCAUCAUGCCCCUUAUGACCUGGGCUACACACGUGCUACAAUGGAUGGUACAACGAGUUGCGAACUCGCGAGAGUAAGCUAAUCUCUUAAAGCCAUUCUCAGUUCGGAUUGUAGGCUGCAACUCGCCUACAUGAAGUCGGAAUCGCUAGUAAUCGCGGAUCAGCAUGCCGCGGUGAAUACGUUCCCGGGCCUUGUACACACCGCCCGUCACACCAUGAGAGUUUGUAACACCCAAAGUCGGUGGGGUAACCUUUUAGAACCAGC
rnacentral:rRNA from 2 species